rnacentral:rRNA from 1 species
UACAGAGGGGGCAAGCGUUAUUCGGAAUUAUUGGGCGUAAAGGGCGCGUAGGCGGCUUUGCAAGUGACGGGUGAAAUCCCUCGGCUUAACCGAGGAACUGCCUGUCAGACUGUGAGGCUUGAGACCGGGAGAGGUGAGUGGAAUUCCCAGUGUAGCGGUGAAAUGCGUAGAUAUCCGGAGGAACACCGGUGGCGAAGGCGGCUUCCUGGACCGACACUGACGCUGAGGCGCGAAAGCUAGGGGAGCAAACGGG